rnacentral:rRNA from 1 species
CAGUCGCCGCGGUAAUACAGAGGGUGCGAGCGUUAAUCGGAUUUACUGGGCGUAAAGCGUGCGUAGGCGGCUAAUUUAGUCGGAUGUGAAAUCCCCGAGCUUAACUUGGGAAUUGCAUUCGAUACUGGUUAGCUAGAGUGUGGGAGAGGAUGGUAGAAUUCCAGGUGUAGCGGUGAAAUGCGUAGAGAUCUGGAGGAAUACCGAUGGCGAAGGCAGCCAUCUGGCCUAACACUGACGCUGAGGUACGAAAGCAUGGGGAGCAAACAGGAUUAGAUACCCCUGUAGUCCCUGUCUCUUAUAC